GAUAAAAUAAAGUGAAGAUGAAAAUACAAUGUGACAAAGUGAUAGAAUGCAGAGAGCUCUAGGGACAGAGGAAGCAAAAAUUGGCGAUGAACGUGAGAAGGUGCCACCUGGGGUGCCAGUAUUAACCGCCGCAUGCGACGUGACGUGAUCCACGUCUUCCGUCGCACUCGAUUGGACAGAUCGCGAGUGAAAAUUCUAUUUCGAAGACAUGGCAAAUUGAUUCGUGGGGAGUCUGGAGCCUAUACCAGGGAACUCGGGGCGCAAGGCACGGGACAACAUGGACGGGGUGCCAACCCAUUGCAGGGCACACUUUGGAAACGUCGAUCAGACUACAACGCAUGUCUUUGGACUGCGGGAGGAAACAAGGGUACCCGGAGGAAACCCCCGGAGCACGGGGAGAACAUACAAACUCAUGCAUACAGGGCGGAAGUGGGACCCGAACCCCCAACCCCGGCGGUGCGAGGCAAACCUGCUAACCACCCUAGCUAAUAAACAUCAACUUUUAUUGCAGAAUAUUGUGGAAUAAAUUUCAGGAAUGAUUAUA